rnacentral:rRNA from 1 species
CCCACGGGUGGCUGCAGUGGGGAAUAUUGCACAAUGGGCGCAAGCCUGAUGCAGCGACGCCGCGUGAGCGAUGAAGGCCUUCGGGUCGUAAAGCUCUGUCCUAAGGGAAGAAUAAUGACGGUACCUUAGGAGGAAGCCCCGGCUUACUACGUGCCAGCAGCCGCGGGAAUUCGCAGGGGGCGAGCGUUAUCCGGAAUUACUGGGCGCAAAGGGUGCGUAGGCGGCCCUGCAAGUCAGGAGUUAAAUCCCUCGGCUCAACCGAGGUCAGGUCUUGAAACUGUGUGGCUGGAGUGCAGGAGAGGAGGGCGGAAUUCCUGGUGUAGCGGGGAAAUGCGUAGAUAUUAGGAGGAACAACAGUGGCGAAGGGGGCUCUCUGGACUGCAACUGACGCUGAGGCACGAAAGCAUGGGGAGCGAACAGGAUUAGAUACCCCAGUAGUC